rnacentral:rRNA from 1 species
AACGAACGCUGGCGGCAGGCUUAACACAUGCAAGUCGAACGCCCCGCAAGGGGAGUGGCAGACGGGUGAGUAACGCGUGGGAACAUACCCUUUCCUGCGGAAUAGCUCCGGGAAACUGGAAUUAAUACCGCAUACGCCCUACGGGGGAAAGAUUUAUCGGGGAAGGAUUGGCCCGCGUUGGAUUAGCUAGUUGGUGGGGUAAAGGCCUACCAAGGCGACGAUCCAUAGCUGGUCUGAGAGGAUGAUCAGCCACAUUGGGACUGAGACACGGCCCAAACUCCUACGGGAGGCAGCAGUGGGGAAUAUUGGACAAUGGGCGCAAGCCUGAUCCAGCCAUGCCGCGUGAGUGAUGAAGGCCUUAGGGUUGUAAAGCUCUUUCACCGGAGAAGAUAAUGACGGUAUCCGGAGAAGAAGCCCCCGGCUAACUUCGUGCCAGCAGCCGCGUAAUACGAAGGGGGCUAGCGUUGUUCGGAAUUACUGGGCGUAAAGCGCACGUAGGCGGAUAUUUAAGUCAGGGGUGAAAUCCCCAGGAGCUCAACUCUGGAACUGCCUUUGAUACUGGGUAU